UCACAAAAGAGAGUGAACAUGCUCAUUUCACCCAAUGGGUGAACCUAGGAAUUGUCAUUACUUUAUUAUAUCGGUGACAUCACCUAGCACUGGUAGAAUUCAAGGCUGUAUUAGAGUAGCUUGAAGUUCCAUUCAGAAUUCUUCUGCUGAUUUCCGAAUCCAUCAUGAUCUCCUUCGACUCCAAGUCAGUCUCUCCGAUGAGGCAUGAUGUGUCGUCAUUGAGGCACCAAGAUGAGAUAGAAGCGACAGUAGUAUCGUUGAUGCAUCGAGUUGCGGUGAGAAGGGUCAUUAGCAGACACAUAGCUGAGCGAGUUGCUAGUAUGGAUCCAUCUCUAGUUUUCUACACAGACAACUCUCAAAUAGUUCUUUCUCUUUUUAGGUGCUAGCUACACUCACUCGACACUUGUAAACGACUCCAAUGGUCCAAUUGGGCUGCUUCUAUGGACUCUUAUCACCAAAAACUCCAUCAUUAGCUGUCUAUCUAAUUAGCUUUAAUGGUGGGUUCAUACAUAGUUCUCUACCAAUGCUGGUGUAGCUGUGGAAAUGGAUUGAUCUCAUAAACUCGAGUUUAAUUUAGUUCCUUGCUGACCAAAGGAAGUGCAUUGAUGGAGCAAAAUAUGGUGGCAGUUGUCGCCUCUACCGAUUCAUGUCCCUUUUCGUGUUGUCAGUGCAUUGAUGGACCAAAGAGAAUUUCUUUGGUUGUAAUGGAUGAUUUCUUUGGUUUUGUUCAUCCUAUAUUAGGGACGGUGUGCAAUUAAGAUUUGGAAGUCUUUUGAACUCAGAGAGGGCAGCUAGCUAAGAAUGCUUAAAGAGGGAUAAAGAGGUUCUUACAAGAAUCUACUGCUGACAAAGUUGAUCAAGGAAAAAUUGAAUGUAGUCAUGUCAGAUCAAAGAAAUUGAAAAGAAGUGAGAGUAGCUUUUAUGGUUUCUUAAACAUUUAUAGUUAUAGAUAGUGUCAAGAAAAAUAGUUAUGUCUGUGCAAGGGUUUUGCGCAGGAAUUAGCCGAGGAGCUAAUGAAUGUCAGAAUGAAAGCCAAUUUACACGUGAUUGUGAAAAUAGUACGUGCUGAAGUGUUUUGUCCAGAAAUUGGUGGAGGAUCUAAUGGAUGUCGGAGUGAAAUGAAAUUAAGAGGGGUGAUGAAAAUGUUGCUCGAGGUAUAAAUGAAGAUCUGUUUAUAGUUGGAGACGAUGGAUAUGAAACACCCGCCACAGUAGAAGUCUAGAACUCUAGAAGUUGGCUACUAUUUGUUUGUCCCUUGCAGCCAAAAUGGAGGAGAUUGAGACUAAAGAAAGCAAUGAUAACGUUUACAUAUAAAAUGCAAAAGGUAGAAAGAGGCACAUACCAGAUAACUCUGGUCUGUUCAAAACCACACGAUGAUAUGAGGAGAAAGGAAAACAUGCGAUCACCCCCAAACUAAUUAAGUAGCGUUGCUGUUUGAUCAAAAUCUAAAUUCGCACCCCUCAAUCAGAUUAAUGUCCCAAUCUCCUUUGAUUUACAGGAAAAACAAGUACAAAAUUUCAAAUUUCAGCCUCCAGUCUUUCAAUUCCAUCUGAUGUAUCAGCUACUGUAAUCGAUUUCCAGGUUUCACAAUAUCUGCAGUGUGCUUUAGGUUUUGAGUAUCAUUCGUGCAUAUUGGAGUAGCUCCGAGAACCAAACUUUUUUCACACUCUCAGAGGGAGAGGUCAGACUGGAAACAAAUAGAAGAGGGCUCUAUAAUUUUACCAAUUGGGUCAUCUUCUCAGGAGAUCACGGAGCAUUCGGUUAUAAACCUUUGGAGCAUUGACUUCAUGGAGCCUUGCUUAUUUACACAAGGCCAUGGACUUAAAGAUGAUACAUCGAGACAUUAAACAAAAGCUUCUUCUUGGCGACUAAGCCACUAAGCACUUUGUAGUACCCUUUCAAAUUUUCUGUGAUCAACCAUCACAAGAUACAUUCUGUAAGUCAGUUCUUAGUCUCUGCUAAUUGAUAUCCUCUUUUCAAGAUUUCUACUUUCCUUUUGGAUUACUUUGAACAACCCUAUAUGUUCUAUUGUGGUCGUGGUUGAUUAUUGUUUGCUUUUCAGUUUUGAAUUGGGCAUGCCUUUUGGGAGUUAUUUCGGGCCUUUGAUUGCUUAGCAUUGUGUGAGUUACCCAGUUAUUGUUAUUUUCUUUGAAAUAAGUACUCGUAUGUAUGUUUAUGUUAUAAACCUUUGUAUUGUUCUUAGUUUCUUCAAUUAGAUAGUUCAGAUCAUCAGAUAGAAUGUGAAAAUUAUUGUUGAGCACCAAUGGAAGUGUACAGAGAAGUGUGGCAUUUAAUCUGAAUUAAUAGCAAAAGAUCUACCAAUUUAUUGGUUGUUUAAUUUGUUAUUUGGUGAUUAAGAGCUGCACAAACUAUUUAGAGUUGUGGAUUUAGUUUUGGAAUAGAAAAGCUCAAGGUUGUGGUUAAUAGUCAUAGUUAUAUAUGAACAAAUUGCUCUAGCUGAGUGAACUAGGUGUGCGCACAAGUCUAACCACAUUAGAUUUUGAAUGAGUAUGUAGUUGGCCUGGUCAUAAUUGCACCAUGCAUCGAGUGGAUUGAUGAUGAGACUACUGCAUUUUCUCAGAUUCUGUACAUUAAAUCUGUAUGUUCUUUGUUUUCUUUCAAAUAUGGCUGAUACUGACAUUGGUUUGCCAAAUCAAGUUCUGAUAAGGCCCACUAUCUCUGCAUAUUUCUGAGCUACCAGAGAAGGUGGCGAAAAUGCAAAACAAUUCCAACAAGUCCUGAAAAUUGUGGAAGAACAAGACCUUGGAGACCAGAAAUUUUUUCGUAGUGACAAUACUAUAGGUUGGGUGGACAUCACAGUUGGAACGCUAGCUUACUGGCAUUGAAGAAGUCGUAGGAGUGAAGAUUUUACAGGCCAGCGGUCUGCCUCGCUUACACGCAUGGACUCAGAAUUUCAAGCAAGUGUCUGUGGUCAAUGACAACCUUCCCUAUCGUGGAUAACUGCUUGCCCAUUACAAACAUUCAAGAGAGAAAUUGAUAUUGGAGCAGUUCAAUCGAGAACAGUUUGCGUCUCUUCACACAUACUAUUCCGAUUAAUGUAAUAUAUGGUAUUUUAUCAAUUUAAUGAAGAAUAAAAUCAUUUUCAAUUAUAUCUUUCAUUAUUGUAAAUAACCAACAAAAGUCCCGCUUUGCAUCAUUAUGCUAGUAGUACUACUAUUUGAUCUUCCUUUAAGUUUUAACGGGGCGAAUUGUCACAUAUAUACACAACAUACUUUGAUUUUCUACAAUCAAAUUCUUGAUAUGGAAGAGAGAGGCUCAUUUCCAAAAAAUAUAAAAUAAAAAAAAUCCUUUCAAUCCACGCAUUUUCAAUACGGGACAAAAUUUACACAAAAUGAACCCAUUGAUGCACCGUCAACGAUAACUUAAUUAUUAAACCCAGCCAGUACAAUCAUGAUUAAAAAGAAAAUAAGCUAGAGAAAAGGUACAGUAAUUAAAGAGUUACUGGAGGCUACCAUAGACCCCUAAAUCACAGAUCGACAUGCAUAGGAAGCAAAACAGAGCAACAAAAUCCACACUUGAAAUAAGUUGAUUGAUAUAUAGUACAACUGCAGCAUAUAUUCUGCAAGAACCAAAAUCUAAGAUAGUUAUCAUAUCCAUAUUAUUUCGCUCCAUGCACCCAAACUGAUGACGGUGCUAAUUAACCAGAAGCUAGUAGAUAUACUAAUUAGGGAUAGCGGUAGCAACCGCGAAGGGUAGGCUCCUUGUCGCAGUUUGGUGGUGGGGGUUUUUUGUUUGCCACGUCAGUGUGGCA